rnacentral:rRNA from 1 species
UGGUUAAGCUAAAAAGAGCGCAGGGCGGAUGCCUUGGCACUGAGAGCCGAUG